AAGUCCAAGGAGCAGCUAUGACAAGGUUUAAAGCUAUUGAAUGGCUUGAAAGUGUAGUUAGGCCAUUGGAGAUACCAAAACAACCAUCAAACUUUUUGAUAGGUCAAAGCUUCAUGUUUCCAACAACUAAUGGUUGUUCUAUCGUAAAGACUUCUGGAGAGCUGGGAACGACUGGAAGUUGUGGUGGCUGUGUGACCGAGGUAUAAUCGAAUUGAAGUUUGUAGAAGUAAUUUUAUACAUCAGCUUGAAAAGGAUCAGAAGACCUGUGAUAUGCUAGCUGAUCUACAAAUUAAAACAAAAAACGAAAUUGCAUGGAAGAAGGCGAGAGAACGAGAUAUUCUAUUA